UACAGAGGGUGCAAGCGUUGUUCGGAAUUAUUGGGCGUAAAGCGCGUGUAGGCGGUUUUGCAAGUCGGGUGUGAAAGCCCUCAGCUCAACUGAGGAAGUGCGCCCGAAACUGCUGUGCUUGAGUACUGGAGAGGGUGGCGGAAUUCCCCAUGUAGAGGUGAAAUUCGUAGAUAUGGGGAGGAACACCGGUGGCGAAGGCGGCCACCUGGCCAGAUACUGACGCUGAGACGCGAAAGCGUGGGUAGCAAACAGG
rnacentral:rRNA from 1 species